AGAGUUUGAUCCUGGCUCAGAUUGAACGCUGGCGGUAUGCCUUACACAUGCAAGUCGAACGGUAGAGGAGCAAUCCUCGAGAGUGGCGAACGGGUGAGUAAUACAUCGGAACGUGCCCAGUCGUGGGGGAUAACGUAGCGAAAGCUACGCUAAUACCGCAUACGACCCGAGGGUGAAAGCGGGGGACUCGCAAGAGCCUCGCGCGAUUGGAGCGGCCGAUGGCAGAUUAGGUAGUUGGUGGGGUAAAGGCCCACCAAGCCUGCGAUCUGUAGCUGGUCUGAGAGGACGACCAGCCACACUGGGACUGAGACACGGCCCAGACUCCUACGGGAGGCAGCAGUGGGGAAUUUUGGACAAUGGGCGAAAGCCUGAUCCAGCCAUACCGCGUGCGGGAAGAAGGCCUUCGGGUUGUAAACCGCUUUUGUCAGGGAAGAAAUACUUCGGGCUAAUACCCUGGGGUGAUGACGGUACCUGAAGAAUAAGCACCGGCUAACUACGUGCCAGCAGCCGCGGUAAUACGUAGGGUGCAAGCGUUAAUCGGAAUUACUGGGCGUAAAGCGUGCGCAGGCGGUUCUAUAAGACAGAUGUGAAAUCCCCGGGCUCAACCUGNGAACUGCAUUUGUGACUGUAGAGCUAGAGUACGGUAGAGGGGGGAUGGAAUUCUGCGUGUAGCAGUGAAAUGC
rnacentral:rRNA from 1 species